GGAAUAUUGCACAAUGGGGGAAACCCUGAUGCAGCCAUGCCGCGUGUGUGAAGAAGGCCUUCGGGUUGUAAAGCACUUUCAGUAGGGAGGAAAGGGUGUAACUUAAUACGUUAUAUCUGUGACGUUACCUACAGAAGAAGGACCGGCUAACUCCGUGCCAGCAGCCGCGGUAAUACGGAGGGUCCGAGCGUUAAUCGGAAUUACUGGGCGUAAAGCGUGCGCAGGCGGUUUGUUAAGCGAGAUGUGAAAGCCCUGGGCUCAACCUAGGAAUAGCAUUUCGAACUGGCGAACUAGAGUCUUGUAGAGGGGGGUAGAAUUCCAGGUGUAGCGGUGAAAUGCGUAGAGAUCUGGAGGAAUACCGGUGGCGAAGGCGGCCCCCUGGACAAAGACUGACGCUCAUGCACGAAAGCGUGGGGAGCAAACAGGAUUAGAUACCCUAG
rnacentral:rRNA from 1 species